UACGAAGGGGGCUAGCGUUGCUCGGAAUUACUGGGCGUAAAGGGCGCGUAGGCGGCCUUCUAAGUCAGACGUGAAAUCCCCCGGCUUAACCUGGGAACUGCGUCUGAUACUGGAGGGCUUGAGUAUGGGAGAGGGAUGUAGAAUUCCAGGUGUAGCGGUGAAAUGCGUAGAUAUCUGGAGGAAUACCGGUGGCGAAGGCGGCAUCCUGGACCAUUACUGACGCUGAGGCGCGAAAGCUAGGGGAGCAAACGGG
rnacentral:rRNA from 1 species